GAUGAACGCUGGCGGCGUGCCUAAUACAUGCAAGUCGAGCGAACGGACGAGAAGCUUGCUUCUCUGAUGUUAGCGGCGGACGGGUGAGUAACACGUGGAUAACCUACCUAUAAGACUGGGAUAACUUCGGGAAACCGGAGCUAAUACCGGAUAAUAUCUUGAACCGCAUGGUUCAAAAGUGAAAGACGGUCUUGCUGUCACUUAUAGAUGGAUCCGCGCUGCAUUAGCUAGUUGGUAAGGUAACGGCUUACCAAGGCAACGAUGCAUAGCCGACCUGAGAGGGUGAUCGGCCACACUGGAACUGAGACACGGUCCAGACUCCUACGGGAGGCAGCAGUAGGGAAUCUUCCGCAAUGGGCGAAAGCCUGACGGAGCAACGCCGCGUGAGUGAUGAAGGGCUUCGGAUCGUAAAACGCUGUUAUUAGGGAAGAACAUAUGUGUAAGUAACUGUGCACAUCUUGACGGUACCUAAUCAGAAAGCCACGGCUAACUACGU
rnacentral:rRNA from 1 species